UAAAAAAAAAAAAAAAGAAGAAGAAAAGAAGAAACAGAAUGACAGAUCGAAAUAAUUCAGUAUUUACUCGUUAUAACCUCAAAAUUCAAGAAUGGCCACGAGGCCAUGUGUAAUUGUUAAAGAUACGAAAUUUUAACUUUAUUUUAUGUUUAUAAAGAA